UACAGAGGUCUCGAGCGUUAGGCGGAAUCACUGGGCUUAAAGCGUGUGUAGGCGGAUCGUUAAGUACCUUGUGAAAUCCCACGGCUUAACCGUGGAACUGCUUGGUAUACUGGCGGUCUUGAGCCAGCUAGGGGCUACCGGAACAAAUGGUGGAGCGGUGAAAUGCGUAGAUAUCGGGAGGAACACCUGUGGCGAAAGCGGCGCACUGGACCACAUCUGACGCUGAGGCGCGAAAGCUAGGGGAGCAAACAGG
rnacentral:rRNA from 1 species